UAGCACUCAGGUCCCAGAGAGCUACUCACA
rnacentral:piRNA from 1 species